rnacentral:misc_RNA from 1 species
AAGGAUCAUUACCGAGUGAGGGUUUCCUUACAGAGCCCGACCUCCCAACCCUGUGUCUACCACACCUUGUCGUUGCUUCGGCGGACCGGUCGACCCACCGGUCCUGACUGCCGGGGGAACCCCCCUGGAGAGCGUCCGCCGAUGGCCCAAACACAAAACUCUUGUACCCACUCUUGUCGUCUGAAUAUUUGAUCAUAAUCAAAACCAAAAAACUUUCAACAACGGAUCUCUUGGUUCUG